rnacentral:rRNA from 1 species
UACGUAGGCAGCGAGCGUUGUUCGGAGUUACUGGGCGUAAAGAGUGCGUAGGCGGUUUUCUAAGUUUGGUGUGAAAUCUCCCGGCUCAACUGGGAGGGUGCGCCGAAGACUGGAAGGCUUGAGUAUGGGAGAGGUAAGCGGAAUUCCUGGUGUAGCGGUGAAAUGCGUAGAUAUCUGGAGGAACACCGGUGGCGAAGGCGGCAUCCUGGACCGGCAUUGACGCUGAUGAGCGAAAGCCAGGGGAGCAAACGGG